rnacentral:rRNA from 1 species
GAGUUUGAUCCUGGCUCAGAUUGAACGCUGGCGGCAGGCCUAACACAUGCAAGUCGAGCGGAUGAGGGGUGCUUGCACCCCAAUUCAGCGGCGGACGGGUGAGUAAUGCCUAGGAAUCUGCCCGAUAGUGGGGGACAACGUUUCGAAAGGAACGCUAAUACCGCAUACGUCCUACGGGAGAAAGUGGGGGCUCUUCGGACCUCACGCUAUCGGAUGAGCCUAGGUCGGAUUAGCUAGUUGGUGGGGUAAAGGCCCACCAAGGCGACGAUCCGUAACUGGUCUGAGAGGAUGAUCAGUCACACUGGAACUGAGACACGGUCCAGACUCCUACGGGAGGCAGCAGUGGGGAAUAUUGGACAAUGGGGGAAACCCUGAUGCAGCAACGCCGCGUGAGUGAUGACGGUCUUCGGGUUGUAAAACUCUGUCUUCAGGGACGAUAAUGACGGUACCUGAGGAGGAAGCCACGGCUAACUACGUGCCAGCAGCCGCGGUAAUACGUAGGUGGCAAGCGUUGUCCGGAUUUACUGGGCGUAAAGGGAGCGUAGGUGGAUAUUUAAGUGGGAUGUGAAAUACUCGGGCUUAACCU